GUGCUCAUUUCAAUAGCACAUAUAUAGUGAAGUUGGAACAAUACAGAGAAGAUUAGCAUAGCUCCUAUGCAAGAUGACAUGCCAAUUUUCAAGCAUUCCAUAUUUUA
ensembl:snRNA U6 U6 spliceosomal RNA